UAGUAGGAGUUGUUGUUGGGGAAGUGGUAGGUUUAGUUGUUGAAGUAGUUGUAGUAGAUGUUGGGGUAGUGGUAGGUUUUGUUGUUGAAGUAGUUGUAAUAGUUGUUGGGGUGGUGGUAGGUUUUGUUGUUGGGUUACUGGUAAGAGAUGUUGUUGAAGUAGCUGUAGUAGUUGUAGGUUUUGUUGUUAGGGUAGUGGUAGGUUUAGAUGUUGGGGUAGUGGUUGCAGUUGUUGGGGUAGUGGUAGGAGUUGUUGUUGGGGAGGUGGUAGGUUUAGUUGUGGGAGUAGUUGUAGUAGACGUUGGGGUAGUGGUAGGUUUUGUUGUUGAAGUAGUUGUAAUAGUUGUUGGUGUGGUGGUAGGUUUUGAUGUUGGGGUAGUGGUAGGUUUAGUUGUUGAAGUAGUUG